rnacentral:lncRNA from 1 species
GCCCUUGAGGACUACAAGGCACCCACUGCCUCUAGCUUCACCAUGGGCACGGCCCAGUGCCGGAACACCGCGGCGGCCAUCGAGGAGGAUGCAGUGACUUAUGAUGAUGUGCAUGUGAACUUCACUGGGGAAGAGUGGAAUUUGCUGGAUCCUUCCCAGAAGAGUCUCUACAAAGAUGUGAUGCUGGAGACCUACUGGAACCUCACCGUUAUAGGCUACACUUGGGAAACCCAUCAUAUUGAAGGACAUUGUCAAAGUUCGAGAAGAAAUGAAAGGUAUGUAAGUAAUCAUAGUGGAGAGAAACUCUAUGAAUGUAAUGAACGUUCUAAAGCCUUUUCAUGUCCCAGUCAUCUCCAAAGUAAUAUAAGAAGACAAAUUGGAGAGAAAACAUGUGAACAUAACCAAUGUGGUAAAGCCUUUGCAAGACCCAGUCAUCUUCAAUAUCAUGAAAGAACCCAUACUGGAGAGAAAUCUUAUGAAUGUCAUCAAUGUGGUAAAGCCUUUACACAACGCAGUAGUUUAAAAUGUCAUAAGAGAACACAUAAUGGAGAGAAACCCUAUGAAUGUAAUCAAUGUGGUAAAGACUUUUUACAACUCUAUAGUCUCCAUUAUUUUUAAAGAACACAUAGAAGACAGAAACCUUUGGAAGGUAAUCGGUGUUGUAAAGCAUUUGAUGUCACAGUCAUCUACGAUGACAUAAAAGAUCACAUACAAGUGAGAACCCAUGUCAAUGUUAUGAAUGUAGUAGAACCUUUGCAUGUCAGAGUUCUUUAGGCAUACACAAGACAAACCACACUGCAGAGAAACCCCAAUUUAAAUGUUUGCUUUUCUCAGAGUUGGUUUGGUCAUGAGAUCUGUUCCCAGCCAUUGAAAGGCUGAGGGAGAAACCCUCUGAGUAUAUUUAAUGUGGCAAAGCCUUUGCACAAUUUUGUAGUCAUCUUCAUCAUGGAAGAAUUUGAACUGGGUAGAAACAUUGUGAAUCUAUUUAGUAUGGUGAAGCUUUUUCACUGAACUUCUUUUUAUGUAUAUUCUUCUUUUUAUGAGACUAUUCAUACUGGAGACAGAUGCUAUGAAUGUCAGCAGUGUGGUAAAGCUUUUAAGUUGUUGGGUCCACUGAGGUUCAACACAACUCACACACCAGGACAAUGCAAAUGAUAAGAAUUUAUUGGGCUGGGUGGUGGUGGUGCACUCCUUUAAUCCUAGCACUCUGGAGGCGGAUGCAGGCAGAUUUCUGAGUUAGAGGCCCAACAACUCUAGAGUGUGUUCCAGGACAGCCAGGGCUACACAGAGAAACCCUGUCUGGGGAAAAACAAAAAAGGGAAAAAAAAGAAUUUAUUGGAAUUAAGUCACUACUGAUCAGUGAGAGACACAAAAGUAUACUCAGAAGUUUAUCUUCAAAACCCCACCGCCCACACCCAACCUGAGACAGAAAGUUGUAUAACUUUCAGACACAAAAACCUCAAAGUCCUGGGCCAACUUACAGCUACAUUUUCUCCCAAAUCAAAACUUAUUUUUAUUGAAUGAGUCAAUAAAUAGUGAUUGCUAA